CAAAAACCUGCAGUUAUCAGUUUAAUUCAGUUCUAAACAUUCAAUGUCUUUUUUAAAAUAAUCUGUAUUUUGGCCAGGUGCAGUGGCUCACACCUGUAAUCUCAGCACUUUGGGAGGCUGAGGAGAGCAGAUCACUUAAGGUCAGGAGUUUGAGACCAGCCUGGUCAACAUGGUGAAACCCCGUCUCUACUAAAAAUACAAAAAUUAGCUGGACGUGGCGGUGCAUGCCUGUAAUCCCAGCUACUCAGGAGGCUGAGGCAGGAGAAUCGCUUGAACCUGGGAGGUGAAGAUUUCAGUGAGUCGAGAUUGAGCCACUGCACUCCAGCCUGGGCAACAGAGCGAGACUCUGUCUCAAAAAAAAAAAAAAAAUCUGUAUUUCCUUCAUCACAGUCUGAAAAGAUUUCAAUGUAAUGGGACAUACAAGGCAUGUGGUCCUACACAGAACCAGGUGUGGCCAUGAACUUGCGGGCCUUCUGAGGCAGCUCCACGGCCUGUUUCCCGGCCCUGACUGACACACCGACUCAGCCUUGUUAGAGAGAUUCUAGAAUGUCUGCCACCUGACAGAACUCCAUGCUGUUUCCUAAGCUCUUCAAAGUAACUGCCAACUACAGUUCCCAGGACAGGGCACAGGCAAGAACAUGUCUGCAAGAGGCAGUGUUUGCCCACCUGAAGGGGGAGUGGAUUCAGUGAAGACGGAAGGAAUAUCUCGCGAGCUGAAUCAAGUAUCACAACAAGCUAUCAUCAGGUGGAGGCCAGGAAGGAGAAUAUGGACAAGGACCAUCCUAGCAGGCUUCCUGGAUGGGGAGGGGAGAGGAGAUUGAGGAUUAGGAAGUGGUGGGAACACAGCACCUUAAGGAGGUGGGAUGGGUGGCAGGCAGCAGCAUGGCCUCAGGAGCUAGACUUUCGAGGCUGAAAUCCGGCCCUGCCCCCUACCAGCUGUGACCAUGGGCAAGUGACCCAGCCCCUGGGUGCCUCAGUUUCCUCCUCUGUAAACAGGGAUAGAAGCAGGCUGCCCUCAUUGGGUUGUCGAUGUGAGAGCUCUAUUAACUAUUAUCCGUAAAAUCGUCUACUAUUGCCUGUAGUCUGCAGGUGUCAUAAAACAUUGAUUAUGACCAUGGGGCUGCAUGCCAGCCUCGGGGGCCUGGAGACGUAUAGGCAGGGGCCCAACUGAGGGAGCAGAGGAAGCCGCAAGGGAAGAUGAGCCCAGCACGAGAUGAUCCGAAAGCCAAGUGUGGGGCGCUGCCGAGCCUUCUGACCUGGGGCCUGGUGAGCCCAGGCCUCUGGACAUCUCAGGGCUUCUACUGACAGAGUUACCUCACUAUCAUGGGAAACCUCUUCAUUCAUCACCCUCAUUGUUCUGGGAAGUUGGAGAAGAGAAAAAGAGCAAACGGCUCACUCUUCCCUAGGGGGUUGGAGCAGAUGACCGCUGUCCUGCCAGCAGCCACAGGCCUUGGGGCCAAGAAGGCUCAUUGUUUUUUUCACUGCACGUUUUCUAAGCCCUCUGCAAAAAGCAUAUUUCCUCUGCAACACAACAACCCAACAGUCCCACUCAAGUCCUCGCCACUCUUCCUUUUCAUAAUAAAAAGACGUGGUGAGGACAGUAUCAUUACGAAGGGGGACCCAAGACACACGAUGAAGACAGAGGCCACCUUGUCCUAACAUUCCCGACCUGGGACGCGCCCCACUCCGACCUCUUCCAACCCAAGGGCUCGGCAACAUCCUGACCUUUUCCUUCUUCCUAUCAAGAUUUACAGGGAAAAUGUGUGUGUGGCUUUUAUUUUUAUUUUUGGAAGUAAGUUUUCUUAUUGAAUUCCAGUAAGACUUGGCAGCUUCCGGGUAAGUCCUCUUAGAAGGGUGGUGAUGGUGAUGGCCACACCCAGCAGUCGGUGAGCACCCAGCACACGCCAAGCCGGCUCUAACUGCGUAGAUGGGUUAACUCAUUUAAUCCUCAACGCAAUCACUCCAGGUAGACACUAUUAUUAUCUUUAUUUUUUCCCUUAAGGGAACUAAGGGAAAAAAAGUUUAAAUAAUGUGCCGAAGCUCACACAGCUAGUAAGUGAGAGAUAACCCAUGGGAAAUACUGACAGAGACAUUUCUGCACCUGCCUGUCUCCAGUCUCCUCACCUGUCUCCCAUGACAACCCCAGUGUGCACCUGUGGGCUCUGAGCCUGUGCAUGCUGGGCUGCUGGGGAUGUCCGGGUCUCAAAACAUCCUAUCAAGUGACACUGUCUAUAAGGCCCAGGGUCGGACAGGCAGGCAGCCUGUCAUUCGUGUCCUGGUACUGACCAAAACAUUGUUUUAAAUUCAGCUCCUGACAUGUGUUCAGUUUCUUUUUUUUUUUUUUUUAAUUUAUUUUACUUUAAGUUCUGGGAUACAUGUGCAGAACGUGCAGGUUUGUUACAUAGGUAUACAUGUGCCGUGGUGGUUUGCUGCAUCUAUCAACCCGUCAUCUAGGUUUUAAGCCCUGCAUGCAUUAGGUAUUUGUCCUAAUGCUCUCCCUCUUCUUUCCGCCCACCCACAGACAGGCCCUAGUGUAUGAUGUUCCCCUCCCUGGGUCCAUGUGUUCUCAUUGUUCAACUCCCACUUACGAGUGAGAAUAUGCAGUGUUUGGUUUUCUGUUCCUGUGUUUGUUUGCUGAGGAUGAUGGUUUCCAGCUUCAUCCAUGUCCCUGCAAAGGACAUGAACUCAUUCUUUUUUAUGGCUGCAUAGUAUUCCAUGGUGUAUAUGUGCCACAUUUCCUGUAUCCAGUCUAUCAUUGAUGAGCAUUUGGGUUGGUUCCGAGUCUUUGCUAUUGUAAAUAGUGCUGCAAUAAACAUACGUGUGCAUGUGUCUUCACAUGUUCAAUUUCAAAAGGAAUGUUCACAAUUAUACUGAGACUGACUUUGUUAUUACUCAUCUAUACAGUGACUGGUUGAGUGUUUUAGGUAAUAUGGAUUGUGAACCCUAUCAUCAUUUUUAAUUUCCUUAGUUUACAUUUUUCUUCCUAGUAUUUUGCCAAAACUGAUCAUUCUGUUAAUAUUCAC
rnacentral:lncRNA from 1 species